GAGGGUAUAGCUCAAGCAGUAGAGCACAUGCUUAGCAUGCAUGAGGUCCUGGGUUCAAUCCCUGACAUUUCCU
rnacentral:tRNA from 1 species